rnacentral:rRNA from 1 species
AGGUUUCGGCCAAAGGAAGGGAAUGCUUAGUGGCGGACUGGUGAGUAACGCGUGAGGAACCUGCCUUUCAGAGGGGGACAACAGUUGGAAACGACUGCUAAUACCGCAUGACGCAUGAAUGGGGCAUCCCAUUGAUGUCAAAGAUUUAUCGCUGAAAGAUGGCCUCGCGUCCGAUUAGCUAGUUGGUGAGGUAACGGCCCACCAAGGCAACGAUCGGUAGCCGGACUGAGAGGUUGAACGGCCACAUUGGGACUGAGACACGGCCCAGACUCC